rnacentral:misc_RNA from 1 species
GAUGAAGAACGUAGCGAAAUGCGAUAAGUAAUGUGAAUUGCAGAAUUCAGUGAAUCAUCGAAUCUUUGAACGCACCUUGCGCCCCUUGGUUAUUCCAAAGGGCAUGCCUGUUUGAGUAUCAUGUACACCUCAACUCUUGUGGUUUCCCACAAUGAGCUUGGACUGUGGAGGUUUUGUUGGCCCUGUGGUCAGCUCCUCUCAAAUGGAUCAGCUUACCGGUGUUUGGUGGCAUUACGGGUGUGAUAACUAUCUACGCUCGUGGUCGUCUCCAAAUAACCUCCAGUGAUGGAGGUUCGCUGGAGCUUAUAAAUGUCUCUCCCCAGUGAAGACAGCCUUUGAACGUUCGAUCUCAAAUCAGGUAGGACUACCCGCUGAACUUAAGCAUAUCAAUAAGCGGAGGA